rnacentral:rRNA from 2 species
UGGUGGCGAUAGCGAGACGGCCACACCCGUUCCCAUGCCGAACACGGAAGUUAAGCGUCUCAGCGCCGAAAGUAG